rnacentral:rRNA from 1 species
AUUGAACGCUGGCGGUAUGCUUAACACAUGCAAGUCGAACGAUGAGAAAGAGCUUGCUCUUUCGAUUAGUGGCGGACGGGUGCGUAACGCGUAGGAAUCUACCUAUUAGUGGGGGACAACUUAGGGAAACUUAAGCUAAUACCGCAUACGCCCUACGGGGGAAAGAAGGGGAUCGCAAGACCUUUUGCUAAUAGAUGAGCCUGCGUAGGAUUAGCUAGUUGGUGGGGUAAAAGCUCACCAAGGCGACGAUCCUUAACUGGUUUGAGAGAAUGAUCGGUCACACUGGAACUGAGACACGGUCCAGACUCCUACGGUAGGCAGCAGUGGGGAAUAUUGGACUAUGGGCGAAAGCCUGAUCCAGCAAUACCGCGUGUGUGAAGAAGGCCUUAGGGUUGUAAAGCACUUUCAAUUGGAAGGAAAACCUCGAAGCUAAUACCUUCGAGUUUGACAUUACCUUUAGAAGAAGCACCGGCUAACUCCGUGCCAGCCGCCGCAGUAA